rnacentral:rRNA from 1 species
AACGAGAUUCCCACUGUCCCUAACUACUAUCUAGCGAAACCACAGCCAAGGGAACGGGCUUGGCAAAAUCAGCGGGGAAAGAAGACCCUGUUGAGCUUGACUCUAGUCUGACUUUGUGAAGAGACAUGAGAGGUGUAGCAUAAGUGGGAGCUUUGGGACCAAUCUUAGCUUUAGCUUCGGCUUUAGUUGAGACCCCUUGGCGAUCAUGAAAUACCACUACUCUCAUCGUUUCUUUACUUACACGGUAAAAAGGAAGUUGGGAUAGUGCCUCUCUCUUCUGGACUUCGGUUCAUGAACGAGGAGGCCACCUAUCUCUAAAUUCUAGAGCAAAAUGUGGUUCCAACCAUACAUGCCUCAAGACACCUAAAGUUGUCUUGUUUCUUCUCGGAGAGACUUGACUCUUUAAAGACUUGGGUUUGGUUGGUAACCCGUGUAUAUAUGUACUUGUACAUAUUUUACACAAACUGCAUGAUCCUCGCCGUGGACACUGUCAGGCGGGCAGUUUGACUGGGGCGGUACAUCUGUCAAAAGGUAACGCAGGUGUCCUAAGGC